GUGAUGGUCAGGAUGUGGGGAGCUUCUUCCAUAAAGCAGAGUCUGAUGGCUGGAAGAAUCUAGAAUUAUAUCAGAAGAAAGGAAAAAUUAGUGGGAAAUGACUUGACUUUACACUCGGUGGUUUGGAACAUUCCAGAGUCGAGAGAAGUUCUUCUUGUCACACGUGAUUUCAUAAUAAUUACGGCCAGCUGUGCCUGGGCAAUUCAGGUCAAGCCAGAUGCCAAAACCCAACUCAAACACUUACAGGAAGAUCCUCCUCAUGAAGAGCCUCCUAACAUCCUGUAGAAAAUCAGAAAAGAUGUGUGUGGAUCCUCUGGGGGCGUCCGUUGGAAGAAAGCCGCUUGCGGGUACUAGGCUGCCCGUCGGGGUCGGAGAGUUUUCACCUAUUUCCACAUCCUCCCGGAGGAAAGUCCGUCCGCCUUCCGAUGUAUAGUCGCGUGGGUGUCUCAGACAUCCUGAGAUGCUGUCUGGCACCGGCAAUUAAGACGUACCAAUAUUUUCUACUCCCUGAUAUGAUGCAAUGAGAAGGGCAUAUCACUUCUGUGGUGUUCUUCCCCCAAAUCUAUAACCUCAAGCUACCCAGGAGACAACAUCAGACAAACCCAAACUGAGGGGCAUUUUACAACAUACCUGAGUAGUAGUCAUCAAAACUGUCAAGAUCCCAAAAGAUAAAGAAAGACUAAGAAAUUGUAACAGAUUGGAAGAGACCAAGGAGAUAUGACAACUAAAUGCAAUGUGGUGUCUUGGAACAGAAAAAG
rnacentral:lncRNA from 1 species